UCUCCCGUGGCCAAGUGGUUAGAGCGCCCGCCUCAGAUGCGGGAGGUCACGGGUUCAAACCCGGAAGAG